ensembl:lncRNA CA3-AS1 CA3 antisense RNA 1
GGGACUGUCCUCGGGUCCCGCGGCCAGGGCUGCGCCUCCCCUCCCUCGGGCCCUACGCGCCUCCGGCGGACGCGGGGAUUCCUCCACAGUGGCCUCGCAGCUGGGGCAAGGGGGACAUCCCCGGCGCCGCGGAGCCGCGAGCGGAGCGAGCGCCCGGGGCGCACCUGAGCCUCCAGCACUCCCCGCGGCCGCGGAAACAUUUUCCUGGGCAUCUAAAAGUAUUGUGGACCUGAGACACUGUGCUUACAGGGCCUACUGGUUUUCACUGUAUGAGACCGAGAAUGGAUUAUGGCAGUUCCUCUUACCUCCGCUGCAUACUUGACUCCAUCCACGGUGUGCUCAGAGCCAUGAUCAUCCGAAGAGCCCCAGUGAAGAUGAAACUGGCGAAGUCGGUAGGGUCCAGGGAGAGGACCCCCUCUCAGCACUGUGAUUCAGAUAAGCUUGGUCAACAGUGAAUUCAUGCUUCUUUUACAGAGCUCUACUUUAACCAAGUGCUCUUAGAGCCAAGGCUUAAUGGACAAAAUGUGGUCAGUUUGCUGGGUGGAUGGUGCCACUCCCAGGACACUGGACUCCUCACAAAAUGAAGUCUGGGGAUAUGUCAAGAUAAAUGAUUGUUCUUUUCUGUCUUUCUUAUUUUGUUUGCUUGUUUCAUUAUUAUUGAAACAUCAUUUUAACAUUUAGGAAAGCAAAAUUAAAACAACAGAUAGACAAUGAGGAUGCAUACACCCAAAGAACAAGUCAGUAGUGUGGUGCAGUGGGAAGAACUGGACAGUUGAGAACCAGGUGGAGGUAGGUUUCCAAUGCUGGCUUCACCCCUUGCUAGUUCUGUGGUCUCAGGCAAGUUGCUAAACUUCUCUGAACCCACUUUCACAUCUCUAAGAAGGUGAUAAUAAUACCAAACUUUCAGAGCUGCUGUGAAGAUUAACUGAGAUUAAGCACCUUAAAGUGCUCAUCAUAGUGCCUGCAUGAUGAUCACUGAGCAGAUGUGAAUUCCUUCUCCACGUGUUGCUUCCAACUACACUUUUCUUCAAGACAACGAGCAAAAACUUUCAUCUACGUCUAAUUUAGACUGUGUCUAUUCAAAUGAGAUGAAAUGGAAAAUUCAGAAAUUUCCCAGAAAACCAAUCAAUGUGGAUGAUUAAACUAGAUAAUUCUCAGCAGCAUUAAUUUGGGCUUGUUGAUAAACAUCUCAACCCAUUGCAGAGUGAUUUAGAGGUUCAAAUGUCUUCCAAAGUAUAUUGGAAACUAUGCAGAAACCCUAAGAUCAAGAUUUGGCAAUAUAAGCUAGAUCAAAAUAGAAUUCAGAGCAUAGCUAUUUUAGAAGAGGUUGCCCACACUAAGUGGCCCAGGGAAAGCCAUAAAUAUAGACCUCAAACAAUGAGGCUAGGCCUAUAUGAGUUUGUUCAGGUAGAAAUGGAGUGGUUCAAUUCAUUGCAUUUUUCCUGUCCAACCACUCAGAACAGUUAUUAUAGGGACAUGUGAGUCCAAUUUAUUAGAAGAAACUAUAUGAAAUUGACAAUAUUCAACUAUUUUUGCACACAAAAAUGGCAUUUUCAUAUGGUUCAACCUAAUAGAUAUGUUUAAUUUUGUUAUGUUGCUUUCAAAAUGGUACUUGAUAUAUAAGGAGAAGGGGAAAAAAGGAAACAAUAGCAAUACGAAACCACUGUUUAAGAAAAUUUAAAUUUCUGUAACUUGGAACCUCCUGGUAGGUAGGAAUUAUGAAUAUCAUUCUUCAUUACAAAAUCAUUAAGAAUGUUCAUUUAUGUAUAUCAAUAAAUAUAACUUUAUUAGAGAUGGGGCUAUAAGGAAUUAUUUUGCUGUAUAUCAAGCACCAAAAUAUUAAAGGAAGAUUCUUUCUUACCUCAUUUAUCGUGAAAUAAAGUAUUUCUGACUAGUCUUCU